rnacentral:rRNA from 1 species
UACGAAGGGGGCUAGCGUUGCUCGGAAUCACUGGGCGUAAAGCGCACGUAGGCGGAUUGCUAAGUCAGGGGUGAAAUCCUGGAGCUCAACUCCAGAACUGCCUUUGAUACUGGCGAUCUCGAGUCCGGGAGAGGUGAGUGGAACUGCGAGUGUAGAGGUGAAAUUCGUAGAUAUUCGCAAGAACACCAGUGGCGAAGGCGGCUCACUGGCCCGGAACUGACGCUGAGGUGCGAAAGCGUGGGGAGCAAACAGG